AUGAAAGAAGUUUAAAAAGGUACGGCGUAAAGCUGUCGCUAAGGAUGGACCUGCGAUGCAUUAGCUAGUUGGUAAGGUAACGGCUUACCAAGGCGAUGAUGCAUAGCCGAGUUGAGAGACUGAUCGGCCACAUUGGGACUGAGACACGGCCCAAACUCCUACGGGAGGCAGCAGUAGGGAAUCUUCCGCAAUGGACGCAAGUCUGAUGGAGCAACGCCGCGUGAGUGAAGAAGGUUUUCGGAUCGUAAAGCUCUGUUGUUGGUGAAGAAGGAUAGAGGUAGUAACUGGCCUUUAUUUGACGGUAAUCAACCAGAAAGUCACGGGCUAACUACGUGCCAGCAGCCGCGGUAAAU
rnacentral:rRNA from 1 species